rnacentral:lncRNA from 1 species
UUCUUCUCCCCUAUCUCUCUCUCUCUAACCCACCACCAACACCUCCACCUUCAACCCACCAUCACCACCACCUCCUUCACCUCCACCUUUAAAUGAUUCCCUUGUUGUAUCAUGUUCCUUACACAUAACCGAACCAAAACCCUAACUUUUUUUCCCGUAAAUUCGAACAAUACAUAUAUCAAACAACGAAAAUAACAUGGGGUUUUGGAUCCUCAUGAAAAAUAGAAGAGGAAGAUGUAUAAAGAUUGUACCGAUUGCGAGGUCAAAGGUGUUUUCCGGCGAGACUGAAUAAUUCCGGCGAAUAUGCGAAUCUUCGGUGAUCGGGAUGACUAUUGCGGACGCGAUUUGGUUGGUUUUGAGUGAAGAUUGAGAGUGAUAAAAGUCCAGAGGGUCGAAUGGAGUCUGAAUUUAUACUCAACUCGCACCAUAACAAGAUCAGAUUUCAAAUUUGAUUCAGUUUCCAUACAAACCUGAUCUUAUGUACAAAGUUUUGAUUUUAUAACAGUAUUAGAUGUUUUAAGGGUUGAAUAGAUGGGGUUUGUGGUCCAGAUUCAGAAUUUACUAGCAUGGGAACAAAGGAUUGCAUUUGAUGACGAGAUCCCGAAGUAUCAGAUGAAAUCUUUCCAUCCUCGUGGCUAUCUUAGGCGGUAAGCCAAGUUCAAACGGGUUCAAGGUUAUCAGUUGUUAAAAGGAUUAUGAGUUGGGGUUGUUAUGGGAAAUUGAUAGUGGUGCAAUUGUUUAGAGGUUGGGUGUUGUGUGCGAACCGGAGGUGGUGGGUUUCCGAAUCGACUAACAAGGAGGUGGUGGAGAUGCUAGGUUGAUGGUGGAGGUGGUGGUGGUGGGUUAGAAUGAGAUGGGAGAGAAGAAGAUGAGGGACAAUUUAGUCAUUUCACAAUAACUUAACUGGAAAAUUUAACAAAGGU